GUGCCAGCAGCCGCGGUAAUACCAGCUCCGCGAGUGGUCGGGACGAUUAUUGAGCCUAAAGCGCUCGUAGCCGGUCCGGUAAGUCCUGUGCUAAAUCCAACGGCUCAACCGUUGGGCCGCAUGGGAUACUGCUGGGCUAGGGAGCGGAAGAGGCCAGGGGUACUCCCGGGGUAGGGGCGAAAUCCUAUAAUCCCGGGAGGACGACCAGUGGCGAAGGCGCCUGGCUAGGACGCGUCCGACGGUGAGGGGCGAAAGCUGGGGGAGCGAACCGGAUUAGAUACCCGGGUAGUCCCAGCUGUAAACGAUGCGGAUUGGGUGCCGGUACGGCUUCGGGCCGUAUCGGUGCCUCAGGGAAGCCGUUAAAUCCGCCGCUUGGGGAGUACGGUCGCAAGACUGAAACUUAAAGGAAUUGGCGGGGGAGCACCACAAGGGGUGAAGCCUGCGGCUCAAUUGGAGUCAGCGCCGGGAACUUUACCGGGGGCGACAGCAGUAUGAGGGCCAAGCUGAUGACUUUGCCCGACGCGCUGAGAGGUGGCGCAUGGCCGUCGCCAGCUCGUGCCGUGAGGUGUCUGGUUAAGUCCAGGAACGAGCGAGACCCUCACCCCUAGUUGCCACCGCGCAAGCGGGCACACUAGGGGGACCGCCACCGCUAAGGUGGAGGAGGGAGGGGGCAACGGCAGGUCAGCAUGCCCCGAAUCCCCCGGGCCGCACGCGGGCUGCAAUGGUGGAGACAAUGGGUUCCGAACCCGAAAGGGGGAGGUAAUCCUUGAAACUCCACCGUAGUUGGGAUCGAGGGCUGCAACCCGCCCUCGUGAACCUGGAAUCCCCAGUAAUCGCGUGUCAUCAUCGCGCGGUGAACACGUCCCCGCUCCUUGCACACACCGCCCGUC
rnacentral:rRNA from 1 species